rnacentral:tRNA from 1 species
GCCACUGUUAUUUAACCUUAACUACAGGAA